UACAGAGGUCCCGAGCGUUGUUCGGAUUCACUGGGCGUAAAGGGUGCGUAGGUGGCGAGGUAAGUUUGAUGUGAAAUCUCCGGGCUUAACCCGGAAAAGGCAUUGAAUACUAUCUUGCUGGAGGUUUGGAGGGGGGACUGGAAUUCUCGGUGUAGCAGUGAAAUGCGUAGAUAUCGAGAGGAACACCAGUGGCGAAGGCGAGUCCCUGGACAACACCUGACACUGAGGCACGAAAGCUAGGGGAGCAAACGGG
rnacentral:rRNA from 1 species